AUUGAACGCUGGCGGCAUGCCUAACACAUGCAAGUCGAACGGCAGCACAGCAGUAGCAAUACUGUGGGUGGCGAGUGGCGGACGGGUGAGGAAUACGUCGGAAUCUGCCCAGUCGUGGGGGAUAACUAGCCGAAAGGUUAGCUAAUACCGCAUACGACCGAGAGGUGAAAGCGGGGGGACCGCAAGGCCUCGCGCGAUUGGAUGAGCCGACGUCGGAUUAGCUAGUUGGCGGGGUAAAGGCCCACCAAGGCGACGAUCCGUAGCUGGUCUGAGAGGAUGAUCAGCCACACUGGAACUGAGACACGGUCCAGACUCCUACGGGAGGCAGCAGUGGGGAAUAUUGGUCAAUGGGAGCAAUCCUGAACCAGCAAUGCCGCGUGUGGGAUGACAGGGCUUCGCCUUGUAAACCACUGUCGGACGGGACGAAAGGAGGCCUCGGGCCUCUGGGACGGUACCGUCAAAGGAAGGGUCGGCUAACUACGUGCCAGCAGCCGCGGUAAU
rnacentral:rRNA from 1 species